rnacentral:misc_RNA from 1 species
ACGAGUUAGGGUCUCUCUGGCCCGACCUCCCAACCCUUUGUCUACUUGACCAUCGUUGCUUCGGCGAGCCCGUCCUCACGGACCGCCGGAGGGAUCUUUACUGGCCCUCUGGUCCGCGCUCGUCGGUAGCCCAACCUUUAAAAUCUUUAACAACAUUCGUCUGAUAACAUAUUAUGAAUAUACUUAAUUCAAAAUA